rnacentral:rRNA from 1 species
GUGUGUGGCCAAACCAACCUGAAUGCACCCAAUCUCAUGUCAUCUCAGAAGCUGAGCCUGGUUAGUACCUGAAUGGGAGAUUCAUACA